rnacentral:rRNA from 1 species
GUGGGGAAUAUUGCACAAUGGGCGCAAGCCUGAUGCAGCGACGCCGCGUGCGGGAUGGAGGCCUUCGGGUUGUAAACCGCUUUUGUUCAAGGGCAAGGCACGGUUUUUGGCCGUGUUGAGUGGAUUGUUCGAAUAAGCACCGGCUAACUACGUGCCAGCAGCCGCGGUAAUACGUAGGGUGCAAGCGUUAUCCGGAUUUAUUGGGCGUAAAGGGCUCGUAGGCGGUUCGUCGCGUCCGGUGUGAAAGUCCAUCGCUUAACGGUGGAUCCGCGCCGGGUACGGGCGGGCUUGAGUGCGGUAGGGGAGACUGGAAUUCCCGGUGUAACGGUGGAAUGUGUAGAUAUCGGGAAGAACACCAAUGGCGAAGGCAGGUCUCUGGGCCGUUACUGACGCUGAGGAGCGAAAGCGUGGGGAGCGAACAGGAUUAGAAACCCUAGUAGUCC